AGGCAGUGUGCUGUAAGCUGGCU
rnacentral:miRNA from 1 species